rnacentral:tRNA from 1 species
GAAAAAGUAUGCAAGAACUGCUAAUUCAUGCCACCAUACCUGAAAGUAUGGCUUUUUCA